AAGAUGCUUGUUCGUUUUCUGGAAAAUACUGAGUCUUUGCCACCGUUCUCAGGGAGAAGAAAUACUAGGUUUUAGAGCAGCAUUCUUUGCAGCUAAGCACCAGACAGAUGGAAAAAUCGCUACCAAGAAGCUGGGGCUUGCCAGAGGUCACUCCUGCAGUUAGAUCAACAAUUGGAGUUGAUCUGAUAACAGAUGGAAAAACUGAAAAAUUGCCUCCGCUUCAUUAAAGCCCCUCACAAGACUCUUAUAUAAGGGGCUGUGCAGAGAUCACUAAGGCUCAUCAUGGAGUCAGCCACCUGAUGGCAUCUGGUCACGUCCUAAAAGGUACCGACUUUGAGCUAGCAAGCAAUUAAAUAUAAAAAUCCUACAGAAUGUAAGUUAUGCGGUCUCCGGCAAAGUCACUGCAGGUGUUUUCUGCUCUUAACCUUGCUGAGUUCAGUAGCGUGGAAUUAUCACACGGGAGCAGCUGCUUAGUUCCAUGUGAUUGGGAAAAAGUGCUUUGUCA